AGAGUUUGAUCAUGGCUCAGGACGAACGCUGGCGGCGUGCCUAAUACAUGCAAGUCGAACGAAGCUUUCUUUCACCGAAUGCUUGCAUUCACCGAAAGAAGCUUAGUGGCGAACGGGUGAGUAACACGUAGGCAACCUGCCCAAAAGAGGGGAAUAACACUUGGAAACAGGUGCUAAUACCGCAUAACCAUGAACACCGCAUGAUGUUCGUGUAAAAGACGGCUUUUGCUGUCACUUUUGGAUGGGCCUGCGGCGUAUUAACUUGUUGGUGGGGUAACGGCCUACCAAGGUGAUGAUACGUAGCCGAACUGAGAGGUUGAUCGGCCACAUUGGGACUGAGACACGGCCCAAACUCCUACGGGAGGCAGCAGUAGGGAAUCUUCCACAAUGGACGAAAGUCUGAUGGAGCAACGCCGCGUGAAUGAAGAAGGCCUUCGGGUCGUAAAAUUCUGUUGUCAGAGAAGAAUGUGCGUGAGAGUAACUGUUCACGUAUUGACGGUAUCUGACCAGAAAGCCACGGCUAACUACGUGCCAGCAGCCGCGGUAAUACGUAGGUGGCAAGCGUUGUCCGGAUUUAUUGGGCGUAAAGGGAACGCAGGCGGUCUUUUAAGUCUGAUGUGAAAGCCUUCGGCUUAACCGAAGUAGUGCAUUGGAAACUGGAAGACUUGAGUGCAGAAGAGGAGAGUGGAACUCCAUGUGUAGCGGUGAAAUGCGUAGAUAUAUGGAAGAACACCAGUGGCGAAAGCGGCUCUCUGGUCUGUAACUGACGCUGAGGUUCGAAAGCGUGGGUAGCAAACAGGAUUAGAUACCCUGGUAGUCCACGCCGUAAACGAUGAGUGCUAAGUGUUGGAGGGUUUCCGCCCUUCAGUGCUGCAGCUAACGCAUUAAGCACUCCGCCUGGGGAGUACGGUCGCAAGACUGAAACUCAAAGGAAUUGACGGGGGCCCGCACAAGCGGUGGAGCAUGUGGUUUAAUUCGAAGCAACGCGAAGAACCUUACCAGGUCUUGACAUCUUCUGACAAUUCCAGAGAUGGAACGUUCCCUUCGGGGACAGAAUGACAGGUGGUGCAUGGUUGUCGUCAGCUCGUGUCGUGAGAUGUUGGGUUAAGUCCCGCAACGAGCGCAACCCUUAUUGUCAGUUGCCAUCAUUAAGUUGGGCACUCUGGCGAGACUGCCGGUGACAAACCGGAGGAAGGUGGGGAUGACGUCAAAUCAUCAUGCCCCUUAUGACCUGGGCUACACACGUGCUACAAUGGACGGUACAACGAGUAGCUAACUCGCGAGGGCAAGCUAAUCUCUUAAAGCCGUUCUCAGUUCGGAUUGCAGGCUGCAACUCGCCUGCAUGAAGUCGGAAUCGCUAGUAAUCGCGAAUCAGCAUGUCGCGGUGAAUACGUUCCCGGGCCUUGUACACACCGCCCGUCACACCAUGAGAGUUUGUAACACCCAAAGUCGGUGGGGUAACCUUUUGGAGCCAGCCGCCUAAGGUGGGACAGAUGAUUGGGGUGAAGUCGUAACAAGGUA
rnacentral:rRNA from 1 species